ensembl:lncRNA
CUCUGUGGUAGAUUUUUUCUUUUUUUAAUCAGCCCCAGUUCUUUGCAGCUUCUCCCAACAAGAGUAUAGUCUAUUUUUCCAUCCUCUGACUUGCUUUGCUCUAACGUCAUGUCAAGUUAAGCCUGGGCCCCAAGAGGAGAUGCACGCUUCUUCUGUCACUCUUGGACCUCAGUUUCCAUGGCAACGGAUCUAGUGUUGUUAUUGUUGUUGGAGGAUUUUUUCAUGGAGAAGAAUCCUGGUGCCCCUGUUCAAUUUCUGCUGGUCCCCAGCCAUUCUGGGAGUUGAACAAAUUCACCAGUCAGCCCCAGUCAAGCACCACCGCUUGGAAGAUAUAUGAUAAGCUGAAAUCAUGGUACAGUCUUCAGUGGGUCUUUUUUACUGGAUUCUAGUCUUAAAGGCAUGACCGGAAUGGCUCCUAAAAAAGGGGAUGGACGAGGUGCCUGACCCAGGCAAGUGGACCUGGAACAGCCCAAAGAAGAUGGAGGGGGUUCCAGCUGGCCAGGAGGCUCUAAACUCACGACCAGCCUUAUCUACUCUUUUCUUCCAGCAGCUUUUAACCCUCAAAUAUUUUCCACGCUUUGGCAAUAAAGCCAAAUGUGAAACGGACGUAAAAAGCUUAAAGAUAAAAGAACAGAUUCAUGGAGAUAGCUUGUGAACUGCAGAGCCUGGCUUUGAACCCAAAACGACUGGAACCAGAGCUCAGGUCAGGAGCCAUGACUUCAUCUUCCACCUCUAGGCAGGUGGGGUGAUGGACUGCAUUUUCCCGCAUCCUGCCUGAGGCAGGCCUGUCACCCAUGUCAAGUAAGAGCCAUCACAAAGGCAGCCCCGUGCAGGGUCGGAGAGCCAGAGGGAGGGAAAAACCUCUGAGUCCUUCGUGAGACCACCCCCAGUGACUCCUCAGGCCCACAGGGAAGUUUUCAACAACACAAGUCUGGAGGGAACCUGUAUUUAUUGAGAAAGC